rnacentral:rRNA from 1 species
AGCAGCCGCGGUAAUUCCAGCUCCAAUAGCGUAUAUUAAAGUUGUUGCAGUUAAAAAGCUCGUAGUUGAAUUUCGGGAUCAGUGGGUCGGUCGUGCCACUGGUAUGCACUGGCCCUACUGGUUCCUCCUUCUUGAAGAACUGUAAUGCCAUUAAUUUGGUGUUGCAGGGAAACAAGACUGUUACUUUGAAAAAAUUAGAGUGUUUAAAGCAGGCAAUCGCUUGAAUACAUUAGCAUGGAAUAAUGAAAUAGGACGAUCGAUCCUAUUUUGUUGGUUUCUAGGAUUGACGUAAUGAUUAAUAGGGAUAGUUGGGGGCAUUAGUAUUCAAUUGUCAGAGGUGAAAUUCUUGGAUUUAUUGAAGACUAACUACUGCGAAAGCAUUUGCCAAGGAUGUUUUCAUUAAUCAAGAACGAAAGUUAGGGGAUCGAAGACGAUCAGAUACCGUCGUAGUCUUAA